rnacentral:rRNA from 1 species
AGUGAACGCUGGCGGCGUGCUUAACACAUGCAAGUCGGAACGAGAACGGAUUAUAGCUUGCUAUAAUUGUCAGCUAAGUGGCGCACGGGUGAGUAAUGUAUAGAUAACCUGCCCUCUAGAAAGGAAUAACAGUUGGAAACGACUGCUAAUGCCCUAUAUGCCUUUAAUACAUAAGUAUGCAAGGGAAACGCUUUAGUGCUAGAGGAUGGGUCUGUAUGGUAUCAGUUAGUUGGUGAGGUAAUGGCUCACCAAGACUAUGACGCCUAACUGGUUUGAGAGGAUGAUCAGUCACACUGGAACUGAGACACGGUCCAGACUCCUACGGGAGGCAGCAGUGGGGAAUAUUGCACAAUGGACGAAAGUCUGAUGCAGCAACGCCGCGUGGAGGAUGACACAUUUCGGUGCGUAAACUCCUUUUAUAUAGGAAGAUAAUGACGGUACUAUAUGAAUAAGCACCGGCUAACUCCGUG